GAUGAACGCUGGCGGCGUGCCUAAUACAUGCAAGUCGAGCGAACAGAUGAGGAGCUUGCUCCUCUGACGUUAGCGGCGCACGGGUGAGUAACACGUGGAUAACCUACCUAUAAGACUGGUAUAACUUCGGGAAACCGGAGCUAAUACCGUAUAAUAUAUUGAACCGCAGGGUUCAAUAGUGAAAGACGGCUUUGCUGUCUCUUAUAGAUGGAUCCGCGCCGCAUUAGCUAGUUGGGAAGGUAACGGCUUACUAAGGGGACGAUGCGUAGCCGACGUGACAGGGGGGUAGGCGGCAUGGGAAGUGAGACGCGGUCCAGGGUCCUACGGGAGGCCGCAGUAGGGAAUGUUCCGCAAUGGGCGAAAGCCUGACGGAGCAACGGCGAGUGAGUGAUGACGGCGUUGGGAUCGUAAAGCUCUGUUAUGAGUGAAGAACAACUGUGUAAGUAACUAUGCCCGGCUUGACGGUACCUAAUAAGAAAGCCACGGCUAACUACGUG
rnacentral:rRNA from 1 species